UACGUAGGGGGGCAAGCGUUGUCCGGAAUCAUUGGGCGUAAAGCGCGUGUAGGCGGCUCGAUAAGUCUGCUGUGAAAGUCCAGGGCUCAACCCCUGGGAUGCCGGUGGAUACUGUCGAGCUCGAGUCCGGAAGAGGCGAGUGGAAUUCCUGGUGUAGCGGUGAAAUGCGCAGAUAUCAGGAGGAACACCGAUGGCGAAGGCAGCUCGCUGGGACGUGACUGACGCUGAGACGCGAAAGCGUGGGGAGCAAACAGG
rnacentral:rRNA from 1 species